rnacentral:rRNA from 1 species
GUAGGUGGCAAGCGUUGUCCGGAAUUAUUGGGCGUAAAGCGCGCGCAGGUGGUUCUUUAAGUCUGAUGUGAAAGCCCCCGGGCUCAACCGGGGAGGGUCAUUGGAAACUGGGGAACUUGAGUGCAGGAGAGGAAAGUGGAAUUCCACGUGUAGCGGUGAAAUGCGUAGAUAUGUGGAGGAACACCAGUGGCGAAGGCGACUUUCUGGCCUGUAACUGACACUGAGGCGCGAAAGCGUGGGGAGCAAACAGGAUUAGAUACCCUGGUAGUCCACGCCGUAAACCAUGAGUGCUAAGUGUUGGGGGGUUUCCGCCCCUCAGUGCUGCAGCUAACGCAUUAAGCACUCCGCCUGGGGAGUACGGUCGCAAAGACUG